rnacentral:rRNA from 1 species
GACGAACGCUGGCGGCGUGCUUAACACAUGCAAGUCGAGCGGAGCGGCGAACGGGUGAGUAACGCGUGAGUAACUGCCCCCCUCUCUGGGAUAACAGUUGGAAACGGCUGCUAAUACCGGAUAGUGGGGGAUGGCUCGCGGCCUAUCAGCUUGUUGGUGGGGUAAUGGCCUACCAAGGCGUCGACGGGUAGCCGGCCUGGGAGGGUGGACGGCCACAUUGGGCUGAGAUACGGCCCAGACUCCUACGUGGGGCAGCAGUGGGGAUUAUUGCACAAUGGGCGGAAUCCUGAUGCAGCGACGCCGCGUGGGGGAUGAAGGCCUUCGGGUUGUACACUCCUUUCGACAGGGACGCGGUACCUGUAUAAGAAGCGCCGGCUAACUACGUGCCAGCAGCCGCGGUAAUUC